GAUUAGCUAGUUGGUGGGGUAAAAGCCUACCAAGGCAACGAUCAGUAGCCGGCCUGAGAGGGUGAACGGCCACAUUGGGACUGAGACACGGCCCAAACUCCUACGGGAGGCAGCAGUGGGGAAUAUUGCACAAUGGGGGAAACCCUGAUGCAGCGACGCCGCGUGAGUGAAGAAGUAUUUCGGUAUGUAAAGCUCUAUCAGCAGGGAAGAAAUACUGACCAUAGGGUCAGCAGACGGUACUUGACUAAGAAGCCCCGGCUAACUACGUGCCAGCAGCCGCGGUAAUACGUAGGGGGCAAGCGUUAUCCGGAUUUACUGGGUGUAAAGGGAGCGUAGACGGCAGCGCAAGUCUGAAGUGAAAUGCCAGGGCUUAACCCUGGAACUGCUUUGGAAACUGUGCAGCUAGAGUGCAGGAGAGGUAAGUGGAAUUUCUAGUGUAGCGGUGAAAUGCGUAGAUAUUAGGAGGAACACCAGUGGCGAAGGCGGCUUACUGGACUGUAACUGACGUUGAGGCUCGAAAGCGUGGGGAGCAAACAGGAUUAGAUACCCUGGUAGUCCACGCUGUAAACGAUGAUUACUAGGUGUUGGGGGACCAAGGUUCUUCG
rnacentral:rRNA from 1 species